GGCGCCCCUCCCCCAGCCUUGCUGCCGCCUUGCAGUUUGAUCUCAGACUGCUGUGCUAGCAAUCAGCGAGACUCCGUGGGUGUAGGACCCUCCGAGCCAGGUGCGGGAUGUAAUCUCGUGGUGCACCGUUUUUCUUAAGCCGGUCCGAAAAGCGCAAUAUUCGGGUGGGAGUGACCCUAUUUUCCAGAGAUGAGGUCUCACAAUAUUGCCCAGGCUGGUCUCAAGUCCCUGGACUCAAGUGACCCUCCUGCGUUGACCUCCCAAAGUGCUGUUAUUACAAGCAUGAGCCACGGUGCCCAGCCACCACCAGGGACGGUCAAGUUGGUAUCCAUCGUGAAGCUAAAUGAAUAUCUGGACAGGAGUCAGACAAAGGGAAGGAGAAUCCAGGGGAAGAUGAAGCAGCUGCAGGCCUGUCUGCUACCCUAUAUCCGGGGAAGAGCCAGAAAUUGCUGACCAUAGAGAGUUACAUUGUCCAGCUUUUCCUCCACGAAAUGGAGCAGCAACAAAAGGCCAGAUCAUUCAACCUAUGCUUCCUCAAGUCUGAUAACAUUAGCGUUUCUCUCAGAUAUCAGUUCAAGUAAGGAGUUGCCAAUAGAAGCAAAGAUGCCAGGAAUCAUUGUUUUUAUUUCAGUGUCCUUAUGAAGACCUUUGAGCACAAUGGAACGAUGAGGCAACAUUAAAUAUUACUGGAAUGGGGUAUGAAAG
rnacentral:lncRNA from 1 species